GCCAGCUCGUUAUGUAUUGCCUUGAUCCCAAUUGUCGGUGCAGUUCGGUAAUGGCGCCAGCGUUCGUGCGCUCUCGCUGCAUGACACGAAAGAGUGCGUCUGCAGCGUUGACCCAGAGGGAGAAUGCGUGCAGCCUGGCAAGGGAGGUAAGUCUAUCGAGGAUCGCGACGGCGAGCUCGCGCUCGCCACGCUGGCAGUGGACCCAGGCGUUGAACCAGAGCGCGAUCACCGCCGUGCCCGGAUGCUCGAGCUCCCCGGCCAGCCGGCAGGCGUUCUCCAGGUCACGAAUCGCGCGGU
rnacentral:misc_RNA from 1 species